CAGUGUUUACUGAGAUAUUGCUUUGGAAAUGUUAUUCAGAAGGACUUGGAUGAGUGUGUGAGACUGUGGAACAGCCACAGGAUUCGCCCCUCCAGAACAGCAUCAUGUCCAGCAGGAGUGCCCAAUGAAAUGUACU